UUAACAACCCCAGAAAGCAAAUCCCUCUCUUUUUAUCAAGAAAACAGGUUCAGCAAGGGCAUAAGGAACAUGAGCUCCCCCCACAUUGCUCAAUAUGCCUCAACCCUGACCCAAAAGAGUGUCUCUAAGGGGAAUGGCAUUUGUUAAACUUCUUUUCCAAUUAAUUUGACAGCUCAG
rnacentral:sRNA from 14 species